GACGAAGGGGGCUAGCGUUGUUCGGAAUUACUGGGCGUAAAGCGCGUGUAGGCGGUUGCCCAAGUCGGGUGUGAAAGCCUUGAGCUCAACUCAAGAAAUGCACUCGGUACUGGGUGACUAGAGGACCGGAGAGGAUAGUGGAAUUCCCAGUGUAGUGGUGAAAUACGUAGAGAUUGGGAAGAACACCAGUGGGCGAAAGGCGGGCUAUCUGGACGGUUUCUGACGCUAAGACGCGAAAGCGUGGGGAGCAAACAGG
rnacentral:rRNA from 1 species